UACGGGGGGGGCAAGCGUUGUUCGGAAUUACUGGGCGUAAAGGGCUCGUAGGCGGCCAACUAAGUCGGACGUGAAAUCCCCAGGCUCAACCUGGGACUGCGUCUGAUACUGGAUGGCUUGAAUCCGGGAGAGGGAUGCAGAAUUCCAGGUGUAGCGGUGAAAUGCGUAGAUAUCUGGAGGAAUACCGGUGGCGAAGGCGGCAUCCUGGACCGGCAUUGACGCUGAGGUGCGAAAGCGUGGGGAGCAAACAGGG
rnacentral:rRNA from 1 species